AGUUCGCAAAAUGACGGAGAAGAGAGCAGCGGAUGAUAACGGGAAGAGGAGAGCGGCUGAAUAUUGUAGAUAGUUUGUAGAGUAACUGUAUUACUCUGUAUUAAGUACACUGUAUUAGUCCAAAUCUGAGGAGUUUUAUCGAUUGUGCGUGUGCGUGCAUUACACUCCCAACGACACCACAGUGACUGCUCGAAUUUCUGCCUGCCUGGCAGACAUCUCGGCCUGGAUGAAGGAGCACCACCUGCAACGCAACCCAGCCAAGACUGAACUCCUUGUCUUUCCAGCCAACCCUGCUGUUGAACACAACAUCACCGUGCAGCUGGGUGCAACUACAGUAAUGCCUUCCAAAUCAGUCAGAAAUCUAGGAGUAAUCAUUGACAACAGACUAAAUUUCACAGACCACAUCUCAAAGACCGCAAGAUCAUGUAGAUUUACACUCUACAAUAUCAGGAAGAUAAGACCCUUCCUCUCUGAACAUGCCACACAACUGCUUGUGCAGUCACUUGCCAUAACUAGACUGGACUACUGUAACACUCUCAUUGCAGGCCUCCCUGCAUAUGCAAUUAGACCCCUGCAAAUGAUCCAGAAUGCAGCAGCACGUCUGGUCUUUAAUGAACCAAAGAGAGCACGUUACACCACUCCUUGUCUCUCUCCACUGGCUGCCGGUUGAUGCAUGUAUCAAAUUCAAAGCUCUGAUGCUGGCAUGCAGAACAGUCACUGGGUCUGCUCCAGCAUACCUAAAAUAAUUUAUGCAGAGCUACACGCCCACUAGAAGGCUGUGGUCGGCUAAGGAACGUCGCCUUGUUGUACCAACACAAAGAGGCACCAAAACACUUUCCCGGACUUUCAGCUUCAUCGUACCACGUUGGUGGAACGACCUUCCCAACCCCACCCGUGAAGCUGACUCACUCUCUGUCUUCAAAAAACGACUAAAAACACAUCUUUUCCAUGAGCACUUAACCAGUCAUUAAAAAAAAAAAAAAAUUCCUGUUGCACUUUAUUCUGUUUUGAAUACUAUUAUGAUGCUAGUGAAACUUUGUAAUACAGCACUUUUCAUACCACUGUCUCCUUACGAUGAUUCGCUUAUGUUUUCCUCUUUUGUAAGACGCUUUGGAUAAAAGCAUCUGCCAAAUGAAUAAAUGUAAAUGUAAAUAUAUGUUUAUAUCCAUAUUUAUAUUUGUAUUUUGUAUUCACAGAACCACACAUCUGUGCACAUUUAAUAAAGACAACGAUUUGGAUUAUAACCUAAGACAUCAUUGUUCUGACCGGACAAACUGUAGCCUUCAGCCAAACCCGGACUAGCAAUUUAAGUGAAGAAUCACAAGAUUUUUCAAGCGGCAUGUGUUUCUCAUUACCCUUGCCCUAUUUGUGUUCUCUUGUGUGUUCAAGCUUGUUGCCAGAUUGUUCUGUGUGUUCCACGCUCCAGUCUUGCCUCUUUUCAGUCUUGUCAUUGUUUUAUCUCUGUUCCAGUUGCUGUUUCCGCCAGUCAGAUAUGCCAUGUUUUGAUCUGUUGGAUUAUUUCCCUUGUGCAGUUUCUCCCAUACUCACCCUGUGGACUUACCUGUUCUCUCCGCCGCCCAGGUGCCUCAUCGUACUCACCAUCUGCAUCUUCACGAUUCCCACACUGCAGCUCAAGCUUAUUAAAUCCUUAUCAAGGAUUAUUAAAAGUUUUUUUGUUUCCUGUGUUGUUCAAUAAACAUUGUUGUUUGUUCAUCUCCAUUUGGGUUUCCUCCUUUCAAAACUGUGACAUAACAAUCCAGCCAACAUGGACCCAGAGGAAGGUGCCAGUCUACAAGUGUCCAUUUCUCAGCAUAGCGCUCUUUUGGACAACAUGACGAGCAGCUCUCCUCUUCCAACCAGGCGAUGGAAGCCAUGGCGGGACAGAUAACAGAGCUAUCAUUAUUGAUUUCAUGUCUACAGCUGUCUCCCAAAUCUGGUCCCACCAGUGAGCCCACUUCAUCGUUUUUGGCGAUUCCUGCUCCCUUCUGGCACUCGGAGACCCGACUCAACCCACUAGCUCCAUAUUCGGGUGAGCCUAAGUCAUGCAGAUGUUUUUUGCCUCAGUGUUCACUCAUCUUUGCUCUCCAAACAUCUGCUUUUCCUUCAGAACAAACCAGAGUGGCUUACAUCAUGACCCUUCUGUCUGGCAAGGCGCGUGAGAUGAGAAUCGCUGUAUGGGGCAACAAACUUUGUUCCAGUCCUUCUCCAUGGAACUUUGCAAGGUAUUUGAUCACUCUGUCCAUGGCAUGGAAGCAGCUUGAGUCUUGUCAGACUUACGUCAAGGUUAUAGUUUAGUAUCGGAGUAUGCCAUCGAGUUCUGCACCCUUGCUGCCUCAUACGACUGGAACAAGUGGGACUGGUUUCUGCAUGGGCUUGGUGACUACAUCCUCGAUAAGAUCUAUGUACUCGAUCACCCUUUGUGAUUCAGUGAUUUGGUGGAUCUGGCCAUCAGUGUAGAUAAUCGGCUGGCUGCCUCCGUUCACAUCGGCCUAUUCCUGUCGCCAGUGAUACAGUUCAUCCACCGCCUGUUCUCCCCAACAAUCAACCUGUUUCGAUUGUGGAGGGGGAGCUCAUGCAGAUCGGGAAAACUCAGUUGUCAUCAGAGGAGAAACAUCAUAGCCUGUUUCGAGGUCUCUGCUUGUAAUGCGGGCAGAGUUACACCGCUGCCGACUGCCUGUUAGAAGCCAACACUUGUCUGCAGGUAAGGGGUUAUUGGCAUGCGCUGCUACUAUCAACAAUUCCCAUAGACUGUGUAUUCUUUUGCUGGCCCUGUUACACUGUGGGUCUAAUUCUCAUCAGUGUUUCACGUUGGUGGAUUCGGGGGCUGAAGGCAACUUCUUGGACAUCAACCUGGCUACAUGUUGGGCUCUCCCACCAUCAAGUUGGUGGACCCUAUCGCCACCAGCACCCUCAGUGAUACUAACUUUGCCUCUGUCACCCACAUCACCACACUAUCUCCGGAAACCAUAAGAGAUUUGCUCCUGCCCAUCAAGUCUCCCAGUACACCCAUAGUCCUGGGGCAACUGUGGCUGGUAAAACACAAUCCUGACAUAGACUGGUUUUGUCAUAAAGUCACUUUUGUAUGUCCCAUUGUCUUGGUUCUGCCCUGUCUCCUGUUGUGUCUUAUUCUUUGUUACGGGACAAUCUGGUAGACUUUUCCGGGGUGCAUGUGAUUUACCAUGACUUGAGGGCAGUGUUCAGCAAGUCCAGGACCGCACCUCUCUCUCCUCAUUGCCAUUAUGACUGUGCCAUCGACCUGCUGCCUGGUACUUCUCCAUCUAGAGGUCAGCUCUUUUCACUCUCUGCUCCUGAAAGGGAGGCCAUGGAUAAGUAUUGUAGGGAAAUACAGUUAUACCCAGUAAUGAGACCAGUAUGAACAAUGAAGACCAGGAGUCAAUGUUGAAGUUUCAAUCAAUAGAGAAAGAGUUCUCCACAUUUCCAAAGGCAAAGACAGAAACUGAAAUUGAGUUGAGGAUCUAACCUCGAAAUAAUUUAGAUUACAGAAACAACCAUAAUUAUAGGCAUAUGCAAAUUAAUUGAUAUCAUCUCUUACAAGUACAGGGUUCAGAUAGGUUAACCAUACAGAUAUUCACGGAAACUGUCCAAACAUAGUAAACUGCAGAUGUACACAGAAGGUGUUAUUUAGAAGCAUAACACUGAUUAGGUAGAACCAAGAAGUGUCAGUUGGUCCGCAGGGUCAAAGGUAAUCGUAAAUCCGACAGGACUCUUCUUCUUUUAGACCUGGGGCCAGAGGGUGACUGAUCAUCUCACCAAAUCACCUGGCCCACAUCACUCCAACAAUUCCUGUAAUCGAUUUAGAUAAAGACUAUAGGAGAGAUUGAGAAAUGCAAAGAAGGAAAAAGAAAAUAGUGUAUCUUAAGAGAAAGAAGAGACUGUAUCUUAAUGUUGAAUGUCAUCGAGGCUGAAUGUUUUUCUUCUCUUCUAGAACAAACAUUGAGAUAACUCACAGCUCUGACAUACACACUUUUAGGGCCUGAAUAUUUCUAGGUGAAAGGGUACAGGAGGUUUAUUCUUCACCAAAAACUUAAACACAAUAAAACUCUUACUUACUUUGAUCAAUGAUCAAUUGAAUUAAUUACAACUCGCAGGUAUAUCUGUUCUCUGGGAGCCGGGCUAAAUGAGUAUGCACUAUUUUCUGGAUUUCUGAUAUAAACCAGACCCUCAGCCACACCUCAGAUGUCAAAAACAUAAAUAACUUUUAACACUUAUAAUAUAUCCUGAAUAAAUGCACAUGCUUAAAAAUGCUUUGAUCACUUUUGAUUAUAACAAUUGUUAGUGGAUGUAUUCAACUCACCAAUAGGCCGAAGAGACGGGUAAACCAAUCCCUUCACUAUAUCAAAGAGUCUUUAGCAACCGGUCUCAUCCGCCCUUCCUUAUCCCAAGCUGGAGCGGGGUUCUUCUUGGUCGGAAGAAGGACAGGUUGCUACGUCCCUGCAUAGAUUAUCGGGGGCUGAAUGACAUCACUGUUAAGAAUCGUUAUCCCUUGCUGCUGAUGUCUUCGGCUUUCGAACUCUUGCAGGGGGCGACCAUCUUUAAGAAGUUGGACCUACGCAAUGCUUAUGACCUAGUGCGCAUGAGGGAGUGGCAUGAGUGAAAGAUGGAUUUCAACACUCCUGCAGGCCAUUUUGAAUACUUGGUCAUGCCCUUCGGGCUUUCCAACACCCCAGCUGUCUUCCAGGGGCUAGUCAAUGAUGUGUUAAGAGAUGUGGUCAAUAAGUUUGUAUUUGUCUACCUUGAUGACAUUCUUAUCUUCUUCAAAAAUGUCCAGGACCAUGCCCAGCACGUCAGGAGGGUGUUCCAGCAUUUGCUAGAGAAUCAACUCUUCAUUAAGGCAGAGAAGUGUGUGAUCCAUGCACAGUCUGUUCCAUUCUUGGGGUUCAUCAUCUGGUCCGAGGGGAUCUGGUUGGAUUCUGCUAAGGUAAGGGCCAUCUUGGAGUGGCCAACCCCAGAUUCCUGCAAAACUUUGCAGAGGUUUCUUGGGUUCGACAACUUCUACAGGCACUUCGUGCACAACUUUGGUCAGCUAGCUGCACUGCUGACGGACCUCACCUCCACCAAAACCAAGUUAAUAACCCCUUUCCUACUGACUGGUCCAAGCAGGCCCAGUCUGCCUUCCUCAAAUUCAUAAGAUGCUUUGUUUUGGCUCCUAUUCUUGUUAAUCCUGAUCUGACUCAUCAGGUUGUGGUGGAGGUGGAUGCAUCAGAGGUGGGCAUGGGGCCGGUCCUUUCCCAGCAUUUGCCCUCGAAUGAGAUGAUGCACCCUUGCGCUUUUUCUUGCCUUACACCUGCGGAAUGGAAUUACGAUGCUAGCAAUAGGAAAUUGUUGGCUUUGCGGUUGCUGUUGGAAGAGUGGCGCCACUGGUUAGAGGGCUCGGGGGUACCUAUCUUUGUAUUGACCAACCAUAAGAAUGUAAAAUACAUAUGCACCGCCAAACGCCUUAAUUCUGGACAGGCUUGCUGGGCACUAUUUCUUGGACGUUUUAAUUGUAUUAUUUCUUAACAUCCGUGCUCUAAGAACAUCAAACCCGAUGCGUUGCCUCGUAUCUUUUGACACUUCUUGUUCCUUGGCUUCCCCUGGACACCGUGUUGCCCCUGACAGGAUGGACGGCGCGGUGACGUGGAAAGUGCGCAUGGCCCUGCGUGACAUCACUAUUCCCGCAGAGUGCCCAGAGAGUCUGUUAUUGGUUUUGACGUCCUAUAGUGGGGUCGCUCUAGAAGUAUUUUAAAAUACUUCUAACUACUUACAAAGCUUUGAAUGGUCUAGCUCCACAGUACUUCUGUGACCUUCUUUCACGCUAUAUUCCAUCACGUUCACUAAGAUCGCAAAAUUCUGGCCUGUUAAUAAUACCUAGAAUUUCAAAAUCCACAAAGGAGGAAGAUCCUUUUCCUGUUUGGCUCCUAAACUAUGGAAUAGUCUUCUGAAGAUGGUUCGGGACACACUCUCUUAGUUUAAGUCUGGAUUAAAGACUCUUCUUUUCAGCCAGGCAUACACCUAAUGUAUUUAUGAACUCAUAGUUAUGCUGCAUUAGUUAGGUCUGUUGGAACCGGAACACUUCUCAUAUUCUAUAAUCAUGUUUUAAAGUGAAUGGCAUCUAUGCUAAUUUGUUUCCCUGUCUUAACAUAUCCUGAGGUUACCAGAGCCUGCCAGAUCCUGAUCUGGUCCUGCCUGAUGUCCGACUCCCACAACUACAUGUUGCUGAUUGAUGGCGACUAACUGCAGGCUGUGCCAGCCAGAUAUCACUUCGGUCUACUACGAUGGACUUCACAGAGGAUAAACUGAUGCCAGCACCAACUAUCAGACAUGGGAUACGUCACUGGACACUGCCUGAAACUUGGGCUUAAGAUGGAGUUCACAAAAUUAAUCUGCCACAAGCUUACAGUCAAACUGCAGUGCACCUUAUUGACCUCUGCCUGCAUCACCUUGGUCAAAGGAUGGACUACACUCUUAAAAUGUAAAACAUAGAUAAUAAAUUAAUUGCAGCCUUCAUCAGUCAAAUGACAAAGGAUAAUGCAUCUGUUUGCACUUCCAGUUAAAUAAGAAUGUAAAUUCUAAGACAUUAGUCAUUAAUCUUAGUUAAUACAAAAGCUUUUUGUUUAAACAUCGGCCCCAAACACUUACUUAGUUUAAAAUUUUUAAAUCUUGACUUGUACUACACAUAAAUAACUAAUAUUGGCAUUAUAUUCAUGCUGUUUAGCCAGAGGGGAACUGGCCCCCACAGUGAGCCUGGUUUCCCCCAAGGUUAUUUUCUCCAUUAACCAACAUCUUAUGGAGUUUUGUGUUCCUUGCCACAGUCGCCUUAAACUCGCUCACUGGGGGUCUAAAUAUAAAUAUAAUUUUUUUCUGUUAUUUAUUUUAAGGUGCAAUUUACAAUCAUGUUAUUUUUUCUUUAUUAAACCACAUUAUUAUGACUCGAAUACAUUACUAUAUUACAGCCUUUCCUGUUAAAGCAUAAUUUUCUGUAAAGCUGCUUUGAAAUGAUACAAAAAUGACUUGUCUUUAUUCUUCCAAUAUCACGUCUCAUCCUGGCAUUGCUCAUACCCUCGUUUUAGUCAAGCAAAGGUUCUGGUGGCCCGUGCUAGUUCAAGACCUCAGUCAGUUUGUGUCGCCCUGUUCAGUUUGUGCCUGUAACAAGGUUUCCAGUUGCCAUCCAGCCAGGCUCAUCCAUUCGCUCUUUGUCCCUUCCAGACCCUGGUCCCAUAUUGCCAUGGACUUUGAUAUUGGUUUACCCCUGUUUCAUGGCAAUAUGGUCAUUCUGACUGUAGUGGACCUGUUCUCAAAGGUGGUUCAUUUCAUCCGCCUCCCCAAAUUUCCUUCAGCGAGAGAGACAUCGGUCUUUGUCGUUGAUCACGUCUUCCGCAUUCAUGGCCUUCCAGUAGACGUGGUCUCCGACAAGGGACCCCAAUUUGUGUCGAGGUUUUGCGCAGAAUUCUGCCGACAGCUGGGGGCUAUUGUGAGGUUAACCUCUGGUUUUCAUCCUCAGAUGAACAGGCAGGCAGAGCAGGCUAAUCAAGACCUUGAAAGGGUCUUGUGCUGUGUGGCCUUCCGGAACCCUAAUUCCUGGAGUUCGUAUCUCACCUGGGUCGAGUUUGUGCACAACUCGUUGCCAGUGUCGUCUACAGACCUGUCACACUUCCAGUGCUCCCUUGGAUACCAUCCAGCUCUUUUUCCUUCCGAGAAACCCGAUGCAGUGGUCCACUCUGCCCUAGCCUUUAUUCAGAGAUGUUGCCACAUGUGGAGGGCUGCCUCAGAAGCCCUGUUAUAGACUGGUGCCCGGAACAAGAAAUCUGUGGACCGACACCGAACUAAUGCUCCAGUCUUACCUCUUGUCGGUCUUAUCAUUGUUUUAUCUCUAUUCCAGUCACUGUUUCCGCUGGUCAGAUACGCCGUGCUUGGAUCUGUUGGAUUAUUUCCCUUGUGCAGUUUCUCCCAUACUCACCCUGUGGACGUGUUCACUUAGCUGCCCGAGUGCCUCAUCAUACUCACCAACUGCAUCUUCACAUUCCACACUGUUUCCUGUGUUGUUCAAUAAACGUUAUUGUUUGUUCAUCUCCGCGUUUGGGUCUCUUCAUAGCUGUGAUAAUGCAACACUUUCCUCAUGUAAAUUAGAUUUAAUGAUGGUUAAGUUUAUAGUUGAUUUCAGUUACCCAGUCUUGAUAAACUUAAAAGGAUCUUAUGUACAGUUGUGCUCAAAAGUUUGCAUACCCUUGGAGAAUUGGUAAUAUACAGUAUGUACCAUUUUUAAAGAAAACAUGAGUGAGCAGGAAAAACAUAUUUAUUUUAUUUCUUAUGGGAUUCAUAUUCAACUCUAGGUUAUAACAGAGUGGCACAAUCAUAAAACAAAACAUGGCAACAAAGAAAAAAUGAAAUGACCCCUGUUCAAAAGUCUGCAUACCCUUAGUUCUUAAUAUUGUGUAUUGCCCCCUUUUGCAUCAAUGACAGUGUUCAGUCUUUUGUAAUAGUUGUCUAUGAGGCCCCAAAUUCUUGCAGCUGGAAUAGCUGCCCAUUCGUCUUGGCAAAAUGCCUCUAGGUCAUGCAAAGUCUUUGAUCGUCUUGCAUGAAUCGCAUGUUUGAGAUCUCCCCAGAGUGGCUCGAUGAUAUUAAGGUCAGGAGACUGUGAUGGCCACUCCAGAACCUUCACCUUUUUCUGCUGUAACCACUGGAGGGUCAACUUGGCCUUGUGUUUAGGGUCAUUGUCAUGCUGGAAUGUCCAAGAGCGUCCCAUGCACAGCUUUCGUGCAGAAGAAUGCAAAUUGUCUGCCAGUAUUUUCUGAUAACAUGCUGCAUUCAUCUUGCCAUAAAUUUUCACAAGAUUCCCCAGUGGGGAUGGUAUUCUUUUCACUAUAGGCCCUGUUGACCCCUCUCCAAACAUAGCGCUUAUGGUUGUGACCAUAAAGCUCUAUUUUGGUCUCAUCACUCCAAAGGCGUGUCAAGGCAUAUUGUUACCGGGCUUUUUUUGCGGCAUUGGCGCAGUAAAGGCUUCUUUCUGGCAACUCGACCAUGCAGCUCAUUUUUGUUCAAGUAUUGUCGUAUUGUGCUCCUUGAAACAACCACAUCGUCUUUUUCCAGAGCAGCCUGUAUUUCUCAUGAGGUUACCUGUGGGUUUUUCUUUGUAUCCCGAACAAUUCUUCUGGCAGUUGUGGCUGAAACCUUUCUUGGUCUACCUGACCUUGGCUUGGUAUCAAGAGAUCCCCGAAUUUUCCACUUAAUAAGUGAUUGAACAGUACUGACUGGCAUUUUCAAGGCUUUGGAUGUCUUUUUAUAUCCUUUUCCAUCUUUAUAAAGUUACAUUACCUUGUUACGCAGGUCUUUUGAUAGUUCUUUUCUGCUCCCCAUGGCUCAGUAUCUAGCCUGCUCAGUGCAUCCACAUGAGAGCUAACAAACUCAUUGACUAUUUAUACACAGACACUAAUUGCAAUUUAAAAAGCCACAGGUGUGGGAAAUUAACCUUUAAUUGCCAUUUAAACCUGUGUGUGUCACCUUGUGUGUCUGUAACAAGGCCAAACAUUCAAGGGUAUGUAAACUUUUGAUCAGGGCCAUUUGGGUGAUUUCUGUUAUCAUUAUGAUGUAAAACAACUAUGUGAUAAUAAAUGGCUUCAUAUGAUCACUAUCUUUAAAGAAAAAACAGUGUUUUUGCAUGAUAAGUCAUAUUUUCAAAAUCAAUGCCAAAAUUUCACAAUUUCUGCCAGGGUAUGCAAACUUUUGAGAACAACUGUAUGUCCAUUUUCCCAGAAAAAAACUAUGUAGUAAUCCAGCAAUCAAUUUAUUUUCUGUGUAGUCACACAGUACAGAUGCAAUGAAAGCUCAAAGCUUCUGUUUGGAUAGGUCAUUGGUUUUAAUGCUGUCAAAAUGUUUUCAUUGUUAGUUCAUUAUAUCAAAUGCAUUAACCAAUGUUUUACAAAUUGAACAUUAUUGUAAAGUGUUACCAAAAAGUGACUAAAGUUGCAUAUGUGCAAUAAGAAAUAAACCAUUAGCAGAAAUUGCAAUUUUAUAAAACGUGUUGGUUUUUGUCCACCAGAGGAUUUCUAUGACAUUAUUGACCCU